GUGCUUGCUUCAGCAGCACGUGUACUAAAAUUGGGAUGAUACAGAGAAGAUUAGCAUGGCCCCUGUGUGAGGAUGACACGCAAAUUCAUGAAGCGUUCCACAAAAUA
rfam:Canis lupus familiaris chromosome 3, whole genome shotgun sequence.